rnacentral:rRNA from 1 species
UACGUAGGCAGCGAGCGUUUGUUCGGAAUUACUGGGCGUAAAGAGUGUGUAGGCGGUGCUCCCAGUCUGUUGUGAAAUCUCCCGGCUUAACUGGGAGGGUGCAGCGGAAACUAGAGUGCUAGAGGGUGGGAGAGGUAAGCGGAAUUCCUGGUGUAGCGGUGAAAUGCGUAGAUAUCAGGAGGAACACCUGUGGUGUAGACAGCUUACUGGACCACUUCUGACGCUGAGACACGAAGCGUGGGUAGGCAAACAGG